rnacentral:lncRNA from 1 species
CCUACAAGAAACCAUGCUUUUCUAUUCUAUACAACCGUACACACCAAAUUAAGCAAAGAAGGCACCUUAACUUUCAAGCAAAAUACCAAACUGGAGAUCAAAAUAGGGUUAACCUAUAAUUGACUAUAUAUAUGACUAGGCGAGCGGAUAGAUAUUAAACAGUAGCAAGGUAAAAAUGGAUUCAAUCUUCCAAUAUCAUCUUCAUUCAACAAGAACUUCAAAUCCUUUGCAUGUUCAGAGAGCAAUCUUCAAACAUGAGCUAAGGAAAUAUCCGAUUACAGCUGUAAACAAGGAAGCCUAUGAGCUUAGGUAACAACAGUAGCAGUAAAACAAAUAGAAGAUAAAGCCAGCAGCAAUGUGUCAACUCAGAAAUGAAAAGAGGAAAUCAAUUUUGGAAUAAUUUUAAACCAGUAACAUUGUUAAAUAACCCCAACAAUUAAAUACCAACCAAAACUGUCCCAAACACUUGACUACCAACAUCAUUCAAUUUAUUUUAACUUCUGAAUAUUCAGGGCUUGUUUCAACACAUAAAAACCUUAAAGAUGCUAGGAAAGCUUUGAUAGAAGUGUAUUUUAUGCAGGGUUUAUUGCUCUUUUUUUUUCUAGGAUUUUUAACUCUCCAGUUCUGUAUCUCUCACUCUCCUUUUUAGGAUCUAAAACUCUAAGUUCUCAAAAACUCCAAAGAAAUCUGCAGACUCUCUAGACUUUUUUU